GACGAACGCUGGCGGCGUGCUUAACACAUGCAAGUCGAACGGAAAGGCCCUGCUUUUGUGGGUUUCUCGAGUGGCGAGCGCGUGAGUAACACGUGUGUAACCUGCCCUUGACAUUCGGAUAACAUCAGGAAACUGCGGCUAAUACCGGAUAGGAGCUCCUGAUGCAUGGUGGGGGUUGGAAAGUUUCGGCGGUUGGGGAUGGACUCGCAGCUUAUCAGCUUGUUGGUGAGGUAGUGGCUUACCAAGGCUUUGACGGGUAGCCGGCCUGAGAGGGUGACCGGCCACAUUGGGACUGAGAUACGGACCAGACGGCUACGGGAGGCAGCAGUGGGGAAUAUGGCACAAUGGGCGGAAGCCUGAUGCAGCAACGCCGCGUGCGGGAAGACGGCCUUCGGGUUGUGAACCACUUUCGCCGGUGACGAAGCGUGAGUGACGGUAAUGGGUAAAGAAGCACCGGCUAACUACGUG
rnacentral:rRNA from 1 species